rnacentral:rRNA from 1 species
AUUGAACGCUGGCGGCAUGCCUUACACAUGCAAGUCGAACGGUAACAGGUCUUCGGAUGCUGACGAGUGGCGAACGGGUGAGUAAUACAUCGGAAUGUACCCAGUAAUGGGGGAUAACGCUUCGAAAGGAGUGCUAAUACCGCAUACGCCCUGAGGGGGAAAGUGGGGGACCGCAAGGCCUCACGUUAUAGGAGCAGCCGAUGGCUGAUUAGCUAGUUGGUGAGGUAAAGGCUCACCAAGGCGACGAUCAGUAGCGGGUCUUAGAGGACGAUCCGCCACACUGGAACUGAGACACGGUCCAGACUCAUACGGGGGGCAGCAGUGGGGAAUCUUGGACAAUGGGCGAAAGCCUGAUCCAGCAAUGCCGCGUGCGUGAAGAAGGCCUUCGGGUUGUAAAGCGCUUUUGUCUGGGAGCAAAUCCUGGCCUCUAAUACAGGUCGGGGAUGAGAGUACCAGAAGAAUAAGGACCGGCUAACUACGUGCCAGCCGCCGCCGUAA